rnacentral:lncRNA from 1 species
ACCCAGGGUAUCAUCAGUCUAAUUAUGGUGGGCAACCAGGACCUGCAGCCCCUGCUACUCCCUAUGGAGCCUACAAUGGCCCAGUGCCAGGCUAUCAGCAGGCACCUCCUCAAGAUGAUCCAAGUUCAAUUUCCAGGACCCACACGGCAGCUCAAAGCAUCCAUAACUCCAGUUUCCAGGGAUCCAAUGCCCUCUUCUGACCUCUGCAGGCACUAGUCAUCCAUGUGAGCAGAACAUGCUCACACAGGAUGUAAAAUGUCUAGUAAAGGGCUGGAGAGAUGGCUCAGCGGUUAAGAGCACUGACUGCUUUUCCAGAGGUCCUGAGUUCAAUUCCCAGCAACCACAUGGUGGCUCACAACCAUCUGUAAUGGGAUCUGAUGCCCCCCCCUUCUGGUGUAUUCAAAGACAGCUAUAAUGUACUCAUAUACAUUAAAUAAAUAAAUCUUU